rnacentral:rRNA from 1 species
GGUCUUGACAUCCCGGAGACCCUUAGGAAACUAGGGGGUGGCUUCCAUCUGGAAGGAAAUCUGGAGACAGGUGCUGCAUGGCUGUCGUCAGCUCGUGUCGUGAGAUGUUGGGUUAAGUCCCGCAACGAGCGCAACCCUUGCCUUUAGUUGCCAGCAGUUCGGCUGGGCACUCUAAAGGGACUGCCGGUGUUAAACCGGAGGAAGGUGGGGAUGACGUCAAGUCCUCAUGGCCUUUAUGACCAGGGCUACACACGUACUACAAUGGCCGAUACAAAGGGCAGCGACACUGCGAGGUGAAGCCAAUCCCGUAAAAUCGGUCUCAGUCCGGAUUGGAGUCUGCAACUCGACUCCAUGAAGUUGGAAUCGCUAGUAAUCGUGGAUCAGCAUGCCACGGUGAAUACGUUCCCGGGCCUU